rnacentral:rRNA from 1 species
GAGCGGAUGAGGGCUUGCUCCUUGAUUCACGGCGGAGGGUGAGUAAUGCCUAGAAUCUCUGGUAGUGGGGGACCGUUCCGCUAAUACCGCAUACGUCCUACGGGAGAAAGCAGGGGACCUUCGGGCCUUGCGCUAUCAGAUGAGCCUAGGUCGGAUUACUAGUUGGUGGGGUAAUGGCUCACCAAGGCGACGAUCCGUAACUGGUCUGAGAGGAUGAUCAGUCACACUGGAACUGAGACACGGUCCAGACUCCUACGGGAGGCAGCAGUGGGGAAUAUUGGACAAUGGGCGAAAGCCUGAUCCAGCCAUGCCGCGUGUGUGAAGAAGGUCUUCGGAUUGUAAAGCACUUUAAGUUGGGAGGAAGGGCAGUAAGCUAAUACCUUGCUGUUUUGACGUUACCGACAGAAUAAGCACCGGCUAACUCUGUGCCAGCAGCCGCGGUAAUACAGAGGGUGCAAGCGUUAAUCGGAAUUACUGGGCGUAAAGCGCGCGUAGGUGGUUCGUUAAGUUGGAUGUGAAAGCCCCGGGCUCAACCUGGGAACUGCAUCCAAAACUGGCGAGCUAGAGUACGGUAGAGGGUGGUGGAAUUUCCUGUGUAGCGGUGAAAUGCGUAGAUAUAGGAAGGAACACCAGUGGCGAAGCGACCACCUGGACUGAUACUGACACUGAGGUGCGAAAGCGUGGGGAGCAAACAGGAUUAGAUACCCUGGUAGUCCACGCCGUAAACGAUGUCAACUAGCCUUGGAAUCCUUGAGAUUUUAGUGGCGCAGCUACGCAUUAAGUUGACGCCGGAGUACGCCGCAGGUAAAACUCAAAUGAAUUGACGGGGGCCCGCACAACGGUGGACAUGUGGUUUAUUCAAGCCCAAAAUUACGCUUGAUGCAAUUCAGAUUGGGCCUUCGUCGACACCUGCAGUGUCGCGCUCCGGUGGAUCCAAGCCUCUGGAUAUU